rnacentral:tRNA from 1 species
GGGCCUGUAGUAUAAUGGUAAUACGGAUCCAUGGCAUGGAUUAGUCGAGGGUUCGAUUCCCUCCAGGUCCACCA